rnacentral:ncRNA from 1 species
UAAUAAUUGUUGAUGAGGAAUAGUAACCUUUACUACCGCUAGCCAGCAAGCGAUUGGUCGAUGGAAAAUCGCAGGGUGUGAAGGUGAACUCGCCUUUGAAUAAUCGGUUGAAUGAUUUAUCAGUAGACCGGUUCGUUUGCGCGUUAUAGCAAAAGUGUUGCGUUAAACGCAAAAUGUAGGUGGCACCGCGAUCCAUUCGUCCUACGG